GUCGAACGAGCGAGAGAGAGCUUGCUUUCUCGAGCGAGUGGCGAACGGGUGCAGUAACGCGUGAGGAACCUGCCUCAAAGAGGGGGACAACAGUUGGAAACGACUGCUAAUACCGCAUAAGCCCACGGCUCGGCAUCGAGCAGGGGGAAAAGGAGCAAUCCGCUUUGAGAUGGCCUCGCGUCCGAUUAGCUAGUUGGUGAGGUAAUGGCCCACCAAGGCGACGAUCGGUAGCCGGACUGAGAGGUUGAACGGCCACAUUGGGACUGAGACACGGCCCAGACUCCUACGGGAGGCAGCAGUGGGGAAUAUUGCACAAUGGGGGAAACCCUGAUGCAGCGACGCCGCGUGGAGGAAGAAGGUCUUCGGAUUGUAAACUCCUGUUGUUGGGGAAGAUAAUGACGGUACCCAACAAGGAAGUGACGGCUAACUACGUGCCAGCAGCCACGGUAAAACGUAGGUCACAAGCGUUGUCCGAAAUUACUGGGUGUAAAGGGAGCGCAGGCGGGAAGACAAGUUGGAAGUGAAAUCUAUGGGCUCAACCCAUAAACUGCUUUCAAAACUGUUUUUCUUGAGUAGUGCAGAGGUAGGCGGAAUUCCCGGUGUAGCGGUGGAAUGCGUAGAUAUCGGGAGGAACACCAGUGGCGAAGGCGGCCUACUGGGCACCAACUGACGCUGAGGCUCGAAAGUGUGGGUAGCAAACAGGAUUAGAUACCCUGGUAGUCCACACCGUAAACGAUGAUUACUAGGUGUUGGAGGAUUGACCCCUUCAGUGCCGCAGUUAACACAAUAAGUAAUCCACCUGGGGAGUACGACC
rnacentral:rRNA from 1 species